rnacentral:lncRNA from 1 species
GCACGAACUCCCAUUUCCCACUAGAAAACGUAACCCUCGUUUUGACAAACAGUGUCCAUUCCUAAUGGCACCAAGUGCCCCUCGUCGCUUUCGCGUUCGACACAGAAGCGCCUUAGAGAUCCCAAGGCUUAAACCCGUUAUCACUGGAGCCAACGCCAUCCCACUGAACUGGAGGCCUCUGGCCAUCCCAGAGAAAUUGAGUUCAGGUACCUUGGGAUCCCGG